rnacentral:rRNA from 1 species
ACGGGUGAGUAAUGUCUGGGAAACUGCCUGAUGGAGGGGGAUAACUACUGGAAACGGUAGCUAAUACCGCAUAACGUCGCAAGACCAAAGAGGGGGACCUUCGGGCCUCUUGCCAUCAGAUGUGCCCAGAUGGGAUUAGCUAGUAGGCGGGGUAACGGCCCACCUAGGCGACGAUCCCUAGCUGGUCUGAGAGGAUGACCAGCCACACUGGAACUGAGACACGGUCCAGACUCCUACGGGAGGCAGCAGUGGGGAAUAUUGCACAAUGGGCGCAAGCCUGAUGCAGCCAUGCCGCGUGUGUGAAGAAGGCCUUCGGGUUGUAAAGCACUUUCAGCGGGGAGGAAGGCAGUACGGUUAAUAACCGUGCUGAUUGACGUUACCCGCAGAAGAAGCACCGGCUAACUCCGUGCCAGCAGCCGCGGUAAUACGGAGGGUGCAAGCGUUAAUCGGAAUUACUGGGCGUAAAGCGCACGCAGGCGGUCUGUCAAGUCGGAUGUGAAAUCCCCGGGCUCAACCUGGGAACUGCAUUCGAAACUGGCAGGCUGGAGUCUCGUAGAGGGAGGUAGAAUUCCAGGUGUAGCG